rnacentral:rRNA from 1 species
AAUCAACGCUGGCGGCGUGCCUCAGACAUGCAAGUCGAACGAGAACCUCCCUUCGGGGAGGGGAAGUGGCGCACGGGUGAGUAACACGUGGGUAAUUUACCUUCGGGUGGGGAAGUAACAGUCGGAAACGACUGCUAAUACCGCAUGAUGCAGCGGCACCACAUGGUGACAGUUGUUAAAGCGGGGGAUCGCAAGACCUCGCGCCUGAAGAGAAGCCCGCGGCAGAUAGCUAGUUGGUAAGGUAAUGGCUUACCAAGGCAACGAUCUGUAGCCGGCCUGAGAGGGCGGUCGGCCACACUGACACUGAAUAACGGGUCAGACUCCUACGGGAGGCAGCAGUCGGGAAUUUUGGGCAAUGGGCGAAAGCCUGACCCAGCAACGCCGCGUGAA